rnacentral:rRNA from 1 species
GAUGAACGCUGGCGGCGUGCCUAAUACAUGCAAGUCGAGCGAACGGACGAGAAGCUUGCUUUUCUGAUGUUAGCGGCGGACGGGUGAGUAACACGUGGAUAACCUACCUAUAAGACUGGGAUAACUUCGGGAAACCGGAGCUAAUACCGGAUAAUAUUUUGAACCGCAUGGUUCAAAAGUGAAGGACGGUCUUGCUGUCACUUAUAGAUGGAUCCGCGCUGCAUUAGCUAGUUGGUAAGGUAACGGCUUACCAAGGCAACGAUGCAUAGCCGACCUGAGAGGGUGGUAGGCCACACUGGAACGGGGACGCGGUCCAGAGGCCUGAGAGAGGGAGCAGACGGGGACCUUCGGCAGCGGGGGAAAACCUGACGGAACAACGGGGCGUGAGAGGUGGAGGUCUUGGGAGCGUGAGACUCUGUUAUUAGGGGUGAACAUAUGUGUAAGUGAAUGUGCACAUAUUGACGGUACCUAAUCAAAAAGCCACGGCUAACUACGUG